ACAGAGCAGGAUGGUGGGUAACACCCACCCGGGGUAACCCGCGAGACAGUGCCACAGAGAAUAGACCGCCCGCAAGGGUAAGGGUGAAACGGUGGUGUAAGAGACCACCAGGAGGCCGGGUGACCGGCUUCGCUAGGUAAACCUCGUCCGGAGCAAGACCAGACAGAUGCCAUUGACGCUGCUCGCCGAGGCAUCGGGUAGGUUGCUAGAACUCCGCGGUAACGCGGCGUCGAGAAAGAUGACCGUCCACGACAGAACCCGGCGUAUCGGCCGGCCCCUCGU
rnacentral:RNase_P_RNA from 1 species